rnacentral:rRNA from 1 species
GAUGAACGCUGGCGGCGUGCUUAAUACAUGCAAGUUGAGCGAAGCGUGUACGGGUGAGUAACACGUGGAUAACCUCCUAUAAGACUGGGAUAACUUCGGGAAACCGGAGCUAAACCGGACACUUAUAGAUGAUACCACGCUGCAUUGGCUCGUUGGUAAGGUAACGGCUUACCAAGGAAACGAUGCAUAGCCGAGCUGAGAGGGUAAUAGCCAACACUGAAGCUGAGACACGGUCCAGACUCCUGCGGGAGGCAGCAUUAGGGAAUCUUCCGCAAUGGGAGAAAGCCUGAGGGAGCAACGCCGCGUGAGUGAUGAAGGUAUUCGGAUCAUAAUACGCUGUUAUUAGGGAAGCGGUACCUAAUCAGGAGGCAACGGCUAACUACGUACCAGCAGCCGCGGUAAUUC